UUUGGAUUUGUCAAGAGGUUAAGACGCAAGCCUAUAAGCUUGAAACGAUGGUUCGAAUCCAUUAUCCAAAA
rnacentral:tRNA from 1 species